GGAGUAGGAGUCUGUUUUGGGAUAGGACUAGGAGUCUGUGUUUGGGAUAGGAGUCUGUGUUUUGGGUUAGGAGUCUGUUUUGGGUUAGGACUAGGAGUCUGUUUAGGGAUAGGACUAGGAGUCUGUUUUGGGAUAGGACUAGGAGUCUGUUUAGGGAUAGGACUAGGUGUCUGUGUUUUGGGAUAGAACUAGGAGUCUGUUUAGGGAUAGGACUAGGUGUCUGUUUAGGGAUAGGACUAGGUGUCUGUUUAGGGAUAGGACUAGGUGUCUGUUUAGGGAUAGGACUAGGUGUCUGUUUAGGGAUAGGACUAGGAGUCUGUUUAGGGAUAGGACUAGGAGUCUGUUUAGGGAUAGGACUAGGAGUCUGUUUAGGGAUAGGACGAGGUGUCUGUUUAGGGAUAGGACUAGGUGUCUGUUUAGGGAUAGGACUAGGAGUCUGUUUAGGGAUAGGACUAGGAGUCUGUUUUGGGAUAGGACUAGGAGUCUGUUUAGGGAUAGGACUAGGAGUCUGUUUAGGGAUAGGACUAGGAGUCUGUUUAGGGAUAGGACUAGGAGUCUGUUUAGGGAUAGGACUAGGUGUCUGUUUUGGGAUAGGACUAGGUGUCUGUUUAGGGAUAGGACUAGGUGUC